CACCUCUCAGGGUCACACCUGGAGAGCUUCCAGUCCUCUACCAGUCUCGACUGUGAGAGGGAGAGUCAAGCAGAGGCCUGUCCAGUACAUUCCUAGCUUGGCCAGUGGCUAGCGAAUGGAAGACACUCUGCUAUGAGU